AUGGUAAAUUCCCUUAGCAGCAGGCAGCUUUGCUCUAAGCGUUUGGCUUCUGCUUUGGCAGCCUGGAGAGCUUGGAAGAAAAGCCGAGUGAAACUGACUUGAUAGAAAUAUUCUUCCAAAGAAUAUCCUUUCAAAAUUUUAUCCAUGUUUUAAAAUUGAAUUUAAUAAUUUUAAUUGUCAUUUAACCGAUGGCUUGUUAUCUCCUGAUGCGAUGCUGUCUUCACCCCUCAGCUUCCCUUCUGUUUGGAAAUGAGUUCUGGAAGUCUGUGGAAGCCUAAUCUGUCAGCACUCACUAAUCCCCAGGAUCAGCUCUCGCAAAGAAGAGACCUUGAGUGAUCUUCAGGGAGAUUAGGUAGGAGGAGGUUUAACCACUGUGAAUGCAGCAGCGAGUUCCUAGAGCAGGAUGGAGGACAGAGGAGAUGGCGGCCUUGCAUCCUGGAACUCCAUCUCUGUUCUGUGCAGGCAAUGCGAGGAGCCAGACCCCAAAUAUUCACCGUACACGGUGGUGCGGAUAGCAGAGGCAGAGAUGAGGGCCUAUCAUCGUUUCUUGGGGAGCUGCACCAGCCUGGAAUACAGGGCAAAUAAAGCACUUCCAGUGAUCAGCACCUCUCCAAAGCUGGACACACUCCUGAUGUCUGCUGUGCUGCAGUCUGCAAACCAUCAAUAGAAUUCUGACAUCUGCCCGGUCCCAUCAUGGUCUCAUCAACUAAGAGAUCCACAUGAAAUCUCCUCCUGGGCUGAUGGACACAAAGAGAGGAAAUGGUCUGGGCUCAUGUUCACUGCCAGUGCUGAGUUCUGGAGCCAGGCGCUGAGGUUCCUGUGGAGUGCUCAAAAGCCAUAAGGAACUUUGUGAGAGGGUGGAAGGGUGUCAUUUUUGAUGUGUAUCAUGUCGUGAUUAUGUUAAUAUUUAGCAAUUGUACACUUAAAGUUUGUGCAGUCUGCUUGUAUUCAGCACAAUUAUACUAGUAUAAAAAUAAAAGGUACAGAGAGCACUUUUCAUUAUGUAAACCAGGGGAGUUUCAUGUUUCCAUUCUUGCCCUCUCUCUCCUACCCUCUGUAUGUGUGUGUAUGUGUAACGUACACAGAUGCAUUCACCUGCGUGGGAAUGUGGAGAGAGUAAAGGCUGAUACCC